rnacentral:rRNA from 1 species
CCUACGGGAGGCAGCAGUGAGGAAUAUUGGUCAAUGGACGAGAGUCUGAACCAGCCAAGUAGCGUGAAGGAUGACUGCCCUAUGGGUUGUAAACUUCUUUUAUAUGGGAAUAAAAUGUUCCACGUGUGGGAUUUUGUAUGUACCAUAUGAAUAAGGAUCGGCUAACUCCGUGCCAGCAGCCGCGGUAAUACGGAGGAUCCGAGCGUUAUCCGGAUAUAAUGGGUUUAAAGGGAGCGUAUGUGGAUUGUUAAGUCAGUUGUGAAAGUUUGCGGCUCAACCGUAGAAUUGCAGUUGAAACUGGCAGUCUAGAGUACAGUAGAGGUGGGCGGAAUUCGUGGUGUAGCGGUGAAAUGCUUAGAUAUCACGAAGAACUCCGAUUGCGAAGGCAGUUCACUGGACUGCAACUGACACUGAGGCUCGAAAGUGUUGGUAUCAAACAGGAUUAGAUACCCCGGUAGUC